AAAAAAUUCAUUGGAUUUCAAGGAAUUAAGCAAGUAAAGAAUCAGGACAGUCCGUAAAUAGCUAAUUACAUCGAGGGUUAUUAUUGGACUCGCCUCCUCAGAAAUUGGGAGGUGCGGAAACUAAUAUUAAGCCUUACGAGAUUUCAGUUGGCAUUUAGGGUAAUGAAUGUCUAUCGGGGACAUCGUAGCGGUUGUCACGGGCUCGAGGAGAGUACCGAGUCAUGACAGUGUUGUUCUAAGUGGUGGUUAUGGUGGAGAAAGGAGGUUAAGAUUCAAUGUUUUGGCUUAGGUUUAGAGAGAGAAGAGGCAGAAAGGCUUUUGGAACCCAAGUUUCUUGGGCAUUUUUGAGCCCAAGCUUCGAUAUGAGACUUAACUUUUUAUUAUUAGGUUUUUAUGGGUUUUGUUUGAAGUUUGAUUAUUUAGUGUUCAUUUGCAUUA
rnacentral:sRNA from 1 species